CGAGUUUUAGACGGACUUCUUGUGGGAUGACACUCUUAUAACAAUAGUAUACAUUAUCAGAUCACAGUCUUUACGUAGAAAUCAGUAUCUGUCAUAACAAUAUUGUAUGUAAGACAUUAGAUGACACUCCUAUAACAAUACUAUACAUUAUCAAAGUCUUUACGUAGAAAUCAGUAUCUGUCAUAACUAUAUUGUAUGUAAGACAUUAGAUGACACUCCUAUAACAAUACUAUACAUUAUAAGAUCAAAGUCUUUACGUAGAAAUCAGUAUCUGUAAUAACUAUAUUGCAUGUAAGACAUUAGAUGACACUCCUAUAACAAUACUAUACAUUAUCAGAUCAAAGUCUUUACGUAGAAAUCAGUAUCUGUCAUAACUAUAUUGUAUGUAAGACAUU
rnacentral:lncRNA from 1 species